UACGGAGGGUGCAAGCGUUGUCCGGAUUUAUUGGGUUUAAAGGGUGCGUAGGCGGCUUCUUAAGUCAGCGGUGAAAGCCCGGGGCUCAACCCCGGAACCGCCGUUGAUACUGGGAGGCUUGAGUAUGGACGAGGUUGGCGGAAUUGAGGGUGUAGCGGUGAAAUGCUUAGAUACCCUCAAGAACACCGAUUGCGUAGGCAGCUAACUAGGCCAUAACUGACGCUGAGGCACGAAAGCGUGGGGAGCGAACAGG
rnacentral:rRNA from 1 species